CCUACGGGGGGCUGCAGUGGGGAAUAUUGCACAAUGGGGGAAACCCUGAUGCAGCGACGCCGCGUGAGGGAAGAAGGAAUUCGUGAUGGAAAGCUCUAUCAGCAGGGAAGAAAAGGACGGUACCUGAGGAAGAAGCCACGGCUAACGCCGUGCCAGCAGCCGCGGUAAUCCGUAGGGGGCAAGCGUUAUCCGGAUUUACUGGGUGUAAAGGGAGCGUAGACGGCAGUGCAAGGCUGCUGGGAACUUCGGGGGCUCAACCCCCGGCCUGCUCUGGAAACUGUACGGCUGGAGUGCAGGAGAGGUAAGUGGACUUCCUCGUGUAGCGGUGAAAUGCGUAGAUAUUAGGAGGAACCCCAGUGGCGAAGGCGGCUUACUGCACUGUAACUGACGUUGAGGCUCGAAAGCGUGGGUAGCAAACAGGAUUAGAUACCCUUGUAGUC
rnacentral:rRNA from 1 species